AAUAUUGCGCAAUGGAGGGAACUCUGACGCAGCGACGCCGCGUGAGCGAUGAAGGUCGUCGGAUCGUAAAGCUCUGUCCUUGGGGAAGAAGGUCUUCGGACUUCACGGUAACUAAGGAGGAGGCCGCGGUUAACUACGUGCCAGCAGCCGCGGUAAUACGUAGGGGGCAAGCGUUGUCCGGAAUUAUUGGGCGUAAAGGGUGCGUAGGCGGACUAUUAAGUCAGAUGUGAAGGCCCACGGCUUAACCGUGGGACUGCAUUUGAAACUGGAGGGCUUGAGUAUCGGAGAGGGUAGUGGAAUUCCCAGUGUAGCGGUGGAAUGCGUAGAUAUUGGGAGGAACACCAGUGGCGAAGGCGACUACCUGGACGAAAACUGACGCUGAGGCACGAAAGCUAGGGGAGCAAACA
rnacentral:rRNA from 1 species